rnacentral:misc_RNA from 1 species
UAUAUAUAUAUAUACACACACACGAGAUUAAAAAGGGGAAGAAGCAACAAGAGCGAGAAAUAAUGUGAUGGAUCGGUUCGAAGGAACUGGGAAUCGAUGGAUGAAUUGCUGUUAACGUGCGUCGUGCUCUCCUUGACACGCAAGGGGGACGAAGAGAACCUUCCAAAUUGGCCUAACCUUUUCUUUUUCUUUUGUUGUUGAUUUCCAUGUGUAUAGCGAAUUGCCCAAACUUUACUGCCAUCUUUUGUGUGUGUUACUUGAUAUCUCGUAUAUCUAGGGUUUAUUAAUUAUGCCGUAUAUUGUAUUAAUUAAUAUAGAUUUUUUGGCCUUUAAAAAUGAUAUUCUUGAGUUAAAUGUCUGUGCCUAAGUUAGGGGGUAUGGUCUUAUUAGUCAAUGAAAG